rnacentral:lncRNA from 1 species
UGAAUGGUAUGUAAGUAAAUUCCCGGCAUGAGCAUGUCAUGAGACUGAAAUGGCAUGAUAGACACUGGAUGAAAAGAGAGUAAGGGCAGAAGCAAAACCCCAUCAUACAAAGGGUCAUUCCUGUUUUCCCUAUGAUAUGUUAAAUCGUGAAUUUCUCUCAAAAUAAUUUAACAGUAGACUCAGUUGCUUCUUGAAGUGCAGUGAAAGCAAAGCAGAAGCCUAGGGAUAGUCUUACUGGCAGAUGCACAUCUUCACCCAUUGAUGAAAUCCAUGAGGACUCUUAAAUAUGUGAAAUUCAACUUGUACUCUCAAUCAAAACGAGCCAGUUUCUGGGGAAGAAAUAUGUGUGCGUGCGUGUUUUCUUUCGGUUUCUCGACUGAAAGUGGAACAAAUUAGUCACUGUGUUGCCAUCUGAAGAUCUGUCAAAACUAGUUACCAGCCAGCAACAUCCGUACAGCUCGCUGAGUUGCCUUCUUCGGAUGAGAUUCUUAGAAGAGCUGCCACUUAAUAAGGUUCUGAUCAAGCUGAAGUCAAACAGAAUUUCAGCAUUUUCAGAUUGGACGUAUUUUUCCCCCCAGCCAGAUGAAAUGAUUGCGACAUUUUGAUAAUGAUAUGUUUGGAUCAAAUGAAAUGAAAUAAAAAUCUG